rnacentral:rRNA from 1 species
UGGGGGAUAUUGCACAAUGGGCGAAAGCCUGAUGCAGCGACGCCGCGUGGGGGAUGAAGGCCUUCGGGUUGUAAACUUCUUUUGCUCUGAACAAGGCAUGCCUUUGGGCUGUGUUGAGUGUAGGGGUUGAUUAGCGCCGGCUAACUACGUGCCAGCAGCCGCGGUAAUACGUAGGGCUCUAGCGUUGUCCGGAAUUAUUGGGCGUAAAGGGCUUGUAGGUGGUUGGUUGCGUCUGUCGUGAAAGCUCAUGGCUUAACUGUGGGUUUGCGGUGAGUACGUGCUGGCUGUAGUGCGGUAGGGGGGGGUGUAAUUCCUGGUGUAGAGUUGUAAUGCGCAGAUAUCAGGAGGAAUACCGGUGGCGAAGGCGGGUCUCUGGGCUGUUACUGUCGCUGAGGAGCGAAAGCGUGGGGAGCGAACAGG